GGAGGUGAUGAUUUAAAUGAUUAUAUAAGGCGGUGCUGCUGAAAUGUAUAAAAAUCAAAGUGGCAAGAACCAAGUGUUCUUUGUUCCAGUUUGACUGACUUGAACGUAACAGCGUGUCUCAGCUACACUCUGCUCAUCUCGAGUCUUCGCUCCUCAUUUGCUUCAGAGCAUUUCACCUGCUGUUCCAGACGACUGACUUGUGCCUGAACCGCUGCAGGUCAACCAACCAACCAACCAACCAACCCCUCAUCAGUGAAACAAAAAUAAGAGGAUCAUGAAGAUUCAAUUUGCCUGUUUGCUGCUGGGCCUGCUUUCUGCUGUGGAGCUCUCUGUAAGCCAGGACUUCUAUAAAAGACAUGUCAUUAGAAAGAUGCAGCCAGGCCAGUGUAUUGAGAAGAUCAAUCAGAGAGGAAUCGGAGUUGUAGAUGGUAAAUGUAAAACAAUAAACACAUUUAUUUUGACCAAAAAAGCAGGAGUCAAUCGCAUCUGUGCAGGUCACACUGGACAACGACAAGGUGGAAACUUUCAAGUUGUUGAAUGCCGACAUGAUGGUAACAGUGUACCUCCUAAUUGUAUAUUUUGGGGUGAACUACAUAACAACAGAAUGAUUGAUAUACAGUGUGAUCAUGGAUUGCCAGUCCACUUUAAUACACCAAAUAAUGCGCAAAAUGGUUAAACUGUUCUGAAUUGUUGCUUAGUCCUUAGUUUGACGUUGACAGCCACCCUGGCUACAAUCUCAUGUUAUUGCUUGUCAUGAUUUAUUUUCUUUGCUUUAAAAAAUAAUGAAUAGUGAAAAUGCAAUAAAGCAUUUUGUCUGCACUCAGUUGUGUUACAUGGAUUUCCUGAACUCAACUUGCCUUCUUUCUACUGAAAUCAUAAAAUAAACUUAUUAACCAGC